UGGAUUAUGGAUUGGAUAUUGACACGGGAAUUAGAUAUUAAAGUGCGAAUUGGAUAAUGGUUUGGGUAAAUAUGGAUCGGGUUUAAAUGUAAAAAUGGGAUUGAAUUGGAUAAUAGAUUUAAAAUUAGAAAAUUGGAUUUUUGUUUUGGGUAAUUUAAUUAAUGAAUACAAAUUGGAAAAUGGAUGAAAUGGAUAUGGAUAAUUGGAUUUAUUUGGAUAUUAA
rnacentral:lncRNA from 1 species